CCUACGGGUGGCAGCAGUGAGGAAUAUUGGUCAAUGGCCGAGAGGCUGAACCAGCCAAGUCGCGUGAGGGAAGACGGCCCUACGGGUUGUAAACCUCUUUUGUCGGGGAGCAAAGCGAACCACGUGUGGUUCAUUGAGACUACCCGAAGAAAAAGCAUCGGCUAACUCCGUGCCAGCAGCCGCGGUAAUACGGAGGAUGCGAGCGUUAUCCGGUUUUAUUGGGUUUAAAGGGUGCGCAGGCGGAGGUGCAAGUCAGCGGUCAAAUUGCGGGGCGCAACCCCGUACUGCCGUUGAAACGGCAUCCCUUGAGUGCGCGAGAAGUAUGCGGAAUGCGUGGUGUAGCGGUGAAAUGCAGAGAUAUCACGCAGAACUCCGAUUGCGAAGGCAGCAUACCGGCGCGCAACUGACGCUCAUGCACGAAAGCGUGGGUAUCGAACAGGAUUAGAUACCCGGGUAGUC
rnacentral:rRNA from 1 species